rnacentral:sRNA from 26 species
UUUUAGCCCCGAUUGCAGUGGAAAUCCUUUUUUGAGGCUUUUCGCCGAUAAAAAGAUUGUAACGGAAAGCGGGAAAUAGC